rnacentral:rRNA from 1 species
AACCUCCGCAAUGUGAGAAAUCGCGACGGGGGGAUCCCAAGUGCCAUUCUUAACGGGAUGGCUUUUCAUUAGUGUAAAGAGCUUUUGGAAUAAGAGCUGGGCAAGACCGGUGCCAGCCGCCGCGGUAACACCGGCAGCUCUAGUGGUAACAAUUUUUAUUGGGCCUAAAGCGUCCGUAGCCGGUUUAAUAAGUCUCUGGUGAAAUCCUGUAGCUUAACUGUGGGAAUUGCUGGAGAUACUAUUAGACUUGAGAUCGGGAGAGGUUAGAGGUACUCCCAGGGUAGAGGUGAAAUUCUGUAAUCCUGGGAGGACCGCCUGUUGCGAAGGCGUCUAACUGGAACGAUUCUGACGGUGAGGGACGAAAGUUAGGGGCGCGAACCGGAUUAGAUACCCGGGUAGUCCUAACUGUAAACGAUGCGGACUUGGUGUUGGGGUGGCUUUGAGCUGCUCCAGUGCCGAAGGGAAGCUGUUAAGUCCGCCGCCUGGGAAGUACGGUCGCAAGACUGAAACUUAAAGGAAUU